rnacentral:lncRNA from 1 species
CAGCUUCCGAGACAAGCCCAAGGGGAUAGCGUUUGCCCCAGUGAGGACCGACUGGAGGUGUCUGAUAUCUUAACGCCAAGAGGUAGCAGAUCCUCUAAGAUGCAGCCAUCUAUUCUUCCCAAAUCUUCCUCGCACAAUUUCGAGUCACCCAGCACUCGCCAUCCACUUCCAGUUCCAAUGGUGAAUGAGGGAAAUAAAGGUGUCGACAGAUGGCUUUUUAGUCAGAGUUCAGUAGGGUAAGGAUUC